rnacentral:pre_miRNA from 1 species
GACCCGAGUCCUUCUCGUCCACCCCCUCCACCUCAACGGGUUUCUCCCGUUGGUCUCUUGGGUGAGGAGGGCGAGGGUC